GUGAGAUUAAAGCAUGCUUCCUUGGACUUCCAAAAAAAAAAGAUUAUCAAACUUUUUCACAUCAUAUGAGAAGAUUGUGGGGACGUUGUAAAUAUAGGAGGGCCCUUGAACACCUAAAUUUCUUGUAUGGUUGAAUUUAGAGAAGAAUACUAGUACAUUUUUGAUUGCAUAGAUCUAGAAAAAUGAAACAUGGAUGAAAUAUUAUUCUGCAAUCUCAGGCCUGGAAUGGAAAACUUCUACCCAUCCUGAGAAAGUAUCUACAAAAAUAAGAAGAUAUUUAUGUUUUUCUGUUAGGUGGUAUAUAUGUGAAAUCUAUCUGCAAGACCUCACCAGUAAGAUGAUGCCAAAUUAGUAUAGAAACGCGAAGGUAUGGGAUGCUGCUGGGUGUGUGGUAAGUUAGAGCAAAUAUGAUCACCUGCAGCAUGAGACUAGAGGAAGCAGGUAAGAAAGAUUUAGAAAAACAUAAUCAACAUAUGAAUCCUUUAGAAAAAGCAUCAGUGGAGGGGUGAGAAGGAUACAUUUCACAUGAUCCCAAUAAAGGUGUUUUAAGGGAAUGAAAAAGGACAAUGUAGUGGAGCUGGGUCCAGAGGAGGUAAAUUUGCCAAAGUAAAAUGAUUCUUUUACAUUAAUUCAUAUGGGUUGAGGAUGGAAGAGGCUCUGAGUCAGGACCAAUGUGAGUUGGGAUUACAAUUUUUGGUUUGAGCCUAUGGAAGGUGAAGUUCAGAAGAUAAUUCUGAUAAUUAAGAAUAAAUAAGCUAAUCUAUCAUUUGUAAUUUCUCAAAGGAAGCAGUUAGGUAGGAAACAUGGAAGGGCCGAUGGACAUCUAAGGACCUUGAACAGAAAUGACAUUAGAGAUGAAUUCUAGGCCUUUUUUUUGGGGGGGGGGUCAAUGGAUCUAGGAAGUCCAAACCUGGAUAAAAUAUUAUUUGAGGUGGGAAGUGACCACAUCUAAAGUCUCAGCAAUGGCAGUGAAAAUUUUAACCAUGCUGAGAAAAUAUCUACCAUAGUAAGAAGAUAUUUGUGUUUUUCUGUUAGGUGCUAUAUGUGUGAAAUCUUUCUCCAGUCCUCUGAUCUAAGAUUUUCCCCAAAAUAGUGUAGAAUGAAGAAGGGAUGGGAUGUUCCUGGGUGUGUGUUGAGGAAGAACAAUUAUGGUCACCUAAAGCAUGACAGUAGAGCAAGCAGGUAAGACAGCUUUAGAAAAACCAAGUUAACAGGUGAUUACUAUGGUUUAAGAAUAAAUGGAAGGCUUACGGAGCCUAAAAUGUACAUGAUCCCACAGAAGGUGUUUUAAGAGAAUGAAAAGGAGAUGUAGUGGGGCUGGAUUGAGAGGAGGUUUAUUUUCUAAACUAAAAAGAUUCUUUUACAUUAAUUCAUAUGGGUUGAGGAUGGAAGAGGCUCAGAGUCAGGACCAAUGUGAGUUGGUGUUACAAUUUUUGGUUUGAGCCAAAGGAAGGUGAAGUUCAGACAAUAAUUCUGAUAAUUAAGAUUUAAGAAGCUAAUUAAUGAUUUUUACUUUCUCUACAGACUGAGGGAGGGAAGGAAUAUGGAAGCUCCCCUAAAAAUAUAAGGACCUAGAACUAUAUUGAUUUUAGAGAUGAAUACUAGGCCAUUUCCCGGUUGCAUAGAUCUAGGAAGUCCAAACCUGGAUAAAAUAUUAUUCAUGAGGUGGUAACUGACCAAAUCUGCUGUCUCAGAAAUGGUAGGGAAAAUUUUACCCAUGCUGAGAAAAUAUCUACCAUAGUAAGAAGAUAUUUGUGUUUUCUGUUGGGAGGUAUAUGUGUGAAAUCUUUCUCCAGUCCUCUGAUCUAAGAUUUUCCCAAAAAUAGUAUAGAAUGAAGAAGGGAUGGGAUGUUCCUGGGUGUGUGUUGAGGAGAAAAAAUUGUGGUCACCUGCAGCAUGACAGGAAAGCAGGCAGUUAAGACAACUUUAGAAAAACCAAUUAAACAGGUGAAUUCUAUAGUUUAAGGAUAAGUGGAGGGCUAAGGGGGGCUAAAAUGUACAUGAUCCCAGAGAAGGCAUUUUAAGCAAAUGAAAAAGGACAAUGAAGUGGGGCUGGUUUGAGAGGAGGUAAAUUUUCCAAAGUAAAAAGAUUCUUUUCCAUUAAUUCAUAUGGGUUGAGGAUAGAAGAGGCUCAGAGUCAGGACCAAUGUGAUUUGGGGUUACAAUUUUGGGUUUGAGCUUUAGGAAAUUGAAGUCCAGGAUAAAAUUCUGAUAAUUAAGUUUUAAGAAGCUAAUCAAUGAUUUUUACUUUCUCUAUGGCCCUAGGUGGGCAAGGAAUAUGGACGCCCCCCUAAACAUAAAAGGACCUGGAACCAUAUUGAUUUUAGAGAAAAAUGCUAGUCAUUUUCUUGUUGCAUAGAUCUAGGAAGUCCAACCCAGUAUAAAAUAUUACUCAUGAGCUGGGAACUGACCACAUCUGCUGUCUCAGACAUGGGAGUGAAAAUUUUACCAAAGGUGAGAAAAUAACUACUAUAGUAAGAAGAUACUUGUGUUUUUUUUUCUGUUAGGUGAUAUAUAUGUGAAAUAGUUCUGCCAGUCCUUUGCAGUAAAAUUUUUCCAAAAUUAGUAUAUAAUUAAGAAGGGAUGGGAUGUUCCUGUGGGUGUGUUGAGGAGGAACAAUUGUGGUCACCUGCAACAUGACAGUACAGCAAUCAGGUAAGACAGCUUUAGAAAAGCCAAGUUAACAAGUGAAUCCUAUGGUUUAAGGAUAAUUGUAGGGCUAGGGGUCGCUAAAAUAUACGUGAUCCUAGAGAAGGUGUUUUAAGAGAAUGAAUAAAGACAAGUAGUCCUAUAGUGGGGCUGGAUAGAGUAGGCAAGUUUUCCAGAGUAAAAUGAUGCUCUUAUAUUAACUCAUAUGGGUUGAGGAUGGAAGAGGCUCAGAAUCAGGACCAAUGUGAGUUGGGGUUACAAUUUUUGGUUUGAGCCUAAGGGAGGUAAAGUUCAGAACAUAAUGUUAAUAAUUAAGAUUUAAUGAGCUAAUCAAUGAUUUUUAUUUUCUCUGUGGACUGAGGGAGGCAAGAAAUAUGUAAGCUCCUCUAAACAUAGAAGUACCUAGAACCUUAAUGAUUCUAGAGAGGAAUAUUAGGCCUUUUUCUGGUUGCAUAGAUCUUGGAUGUACAAACCUGGAUAAAAUAGGAUUCAUGAGCUGGGAAGGGAAGCUAUGUAAAGUCUUAGCAAUGGUAGUGAAAAUUUUACCCAUGCUGAUAAAAUAUACAGCAUAGUAAGAAGAUAUUUGUAUUUUUCUGUUAUGUGGUAUAGGUGUGAAAUCUUUCUCCAGUCCUUUGAUGUAAGACUUUCCCAAAAAUAGUAUAGAAUGAAGAAGAGAUGGGAUGUUCCUGGGUGUGUGUUGAGGAGGAAAUAUUGUGGUCACCUGCAGAAUGACAGUAGAGAAAGGAGGUAAGACAGCUGUAGAAAAACCAAGUAAACAGGUUAAUCCUAUGGUUUAGGGAUAAGUUAAGGGUUAAGUGGGCAACAAUGCACAUGAUCCCAAAGAAGGUGUUUUAAGAGACUAAAAAAGGACAAUAAAGUGGGGCUGUGCAUAGAGGAGGUAAAUUUUACCAGAGAAAAAUGAUUCUCUUACAUUAAUAUAUAUGGAUUGAGGAUGGAAGAGGGUCACAGUCAGGACCAAUGUGAGUUGGGGUUACAAUUUUUGGUUUGAGCCUAAGGAAGGUGAGGUUAAGAAGAUAAUUCUGAAAAUUAAAAUUUAAUAAGCUAAUCAAGAAUUUUUCCAAUCUCUGAGGACUGAGGAAGGCAAGGAAUAUGGAAGCUCUCCUAAACAUAUAAAGACCUUUAAAAAUUGAAUUUAGAUAGGAACCAGUGGCCAUUUUCUGGUUGAAUAGAUUUAGGAAGUCCAAACCUGGAUAAAAUAUUAUUCAUCACCUGGGUACAUACCUCAUCUAUAAUCUCAUCUGUGGGAGGGAAAAUUUUACUCAUGCUGAGAAAAUAUCUACCAUAGUAAGAAGAUAUUUGUCUGUGUUUUCUGUUAGGAGGUAUAUGUGUGAGAUCUUUCUCCAGUCCUCUGAUGUAAGAUUUUCCCAAAAAUAGUAUAGAAAGAAGAAGGGAUGGGAUGUUCCUGGGUGUGUGUUGAGGAGGAAGAAUUGUGGUCACCUGCAGCAUGACAGUAGAGCAAGCUGGUAAGACAGCUUUAGAAAAACCACAUAAACAUGUGAGUCCUAUGCUUUGAGGAAAAGUGGAGGGUUAAGGGGGGGCUACAAUGCACAUGAUCUCAGAGAAGUUGUUUUAAGAGAAUGAAAAGGGAGAAUGUAGUAGAGCAGAGCCCAGAGGAGGUACAUUUUCCAAAGUAAAAUGAUUAUUUAAAAUUAAUUCAUAUGGGUUAAGGAUGCAAGAGGCUAAGAGUCAGGUCCAAUGUGAGUUGGGGAUACAAUUAUUUGUUUGAGCCUAAGGAAGGUAAAGUUUAAAAGAUAAAUCUGAAACUUAAAAUUAAAUAGGCUAAACUAUGAUUUUUACAUUCUCUAAAAAAGUAGUUAUGUAGUGAAUAUGGAAGGGCCCAUGGAUAUCUAAGGACCUUGAACAGAAAUGACAUUAGAGAUGAAUACUAGGCCAUUUUUUGGGUUACUAGAUCUAGGAAGUCCAAACAUGGAUAAAAUAUUUUUCAUUACCUAAGUACAUACCUCAUCUAUAGUCUCAGCUGUGGUAGGGAAACUUUUACCCAUGCUGAGAAAAUAUUUACCAUAAUAAGAAGAUAUUUGUGUUUUUCUGUUAGGCUGUAUAUGUGGGAAAUCUUUCUCAAGUACUCUGAUGUAAGAUUUUCCCCAAAUUAGUAUAUAAUGAAGAAGGGAUGGGAUGUUCUUGGGUGUGUGUUGAGGAGGAACAAUUGUGGUCACCUGCACCCUGACAGUAGAUCAAGCAGGUUAAGACAGCUUUAGAAAAACUAAGUUAACUGGUGAAUCCUCUGCCUUAAGAAUAAGUGGAGGGCUAAGUGGGGCUACAAUGCACAUGAUCCCAGAGAAGGUAUUUUUAAGAUAAUGAAAAAGGACAUUGUAGAGGGGCUGGAUCUAGAGGAGUUGUAUUUUCCAAAAUAAAAUGAUUCUUUUACAUUAAUUCUUAAGGCUUGAGGUGGAUGAGGAUCACAGUCAGGACCAAUGUGAGUUGGGGUUACAAUUUUUGGUGUGAGUCUAAGGAAGGUGAAGUUCAGAAGAUAAUUCUGAAAGUUAAAAUUUAAUAAGCUAGUUAUGAUUUUUACUUUCUCUAAGAAAGCAGUUAAGUAGGGAAUAUGGAAGGGCCCAUGGAAAUCUAAAGACCUUGAACAGAAAUGACAUUAGAGAUGAAUACUAGGACAUUUUGGGGGGGGAGGGAAAUAUAUCUAGGAAGUCCUAACCUGGAUAAAAAAAAUAUUCAUCACCUAGGUAUAUACCUCAUGUAUAGAAUUAGCCAUUUUAGGGAAACUUUUACCCAUGCUUAGAAAAUAUCUACCACGAAAAUACAUGCUUUUUCUGUAAGGUUGUAUAUGUGUGAAAUCUUUCUCAGAUCCUCUGAUGAAAAAUUUUCCCCAAAUUAGUAUAUAAUGAAGCAGGGAUUGGAUGUUCCUGGGUGUGUGUUGAGGAGGAACAAUUGUGGUCACCUGCAACAUGACAAUAGAGCAAGCAGGUAAGACAGCUUUAGAAACACCAAGUAAACAUGUGAAUCCUAUGCUUUAAGGAUAAGUGCAGGGCUAUGGGGGACGGGGGGACGGGGGCUACAAUGGACAUGAUCCCAGAGAAGGUGUUUUAAGAGAAUGAACAAGGACAAUGUAUUGGGGCUGGAUCGAGAGUAGCCAAAUUUUCCAAGAGUAAAAUGAUUCUCUUACAUAAACUCACAUAGGUUGAGGAUGGAAGAGGAACACAUUCAGGACCAAUGUGGGUUGGGGUUACAAUAUUUGGUUUGAGCCUUAGGAAGGUCAAGUUAAAAAGAUAAUGCUAAUAAUUAAGAUUAUAAAGCUAAUCAAUGGUGUUUACAUUCUCUGAGGACUGAGUGAGGCAAGGAAUAUGGAAGCUCCCCAAAAUAUAUAAGAACCUAGAACGAUAUUGAUUUAGAGAAGUAAACUAGGCCAUUUUAUGGUUGCUUAGAUCUAGGAAGUUCAAAACUGGAUAAAAUAUUAUUCAUGAUCUGGGAACUGACCACAUCCAAAGCCUCAGCAAUUGUAGUGAAAUUUUACGCAUCCUAAGAAAAUAUAAACCAUAGAAAGAAGAUAUUUGUGUUUUUCUGUUAGGUGGUAUAUGUGUGAAAUCUUUCUCCAGUCCUCUGAUGUAAGAUUUUCCCAAAGUUAGUAUAGAAUGAAGAAGGAAUGGGAUGUUCCUGGUGUGUGUUGAGAAGGAAAAAUUGUGGUCACCUGUAGCCUGACAGUUGAAUAAGCAGGAAAGACAGCUUUAGAAAAACCAAGUGAAUCCUAUUGAAAAACAGGUGAAUCCUAUUGUUUAAGGAUAGGUUGAGGGCAAAGUGGAGAUACAAUGUACAUGAUUCCAGGGAAGGUGUUUUAAGAGAAUAUAAAAAGAACAAUAGAUUGGGGCUGGGUCUAGAAGAGGUAAAUUUUGCCACAGUAAAAUGAUUCUCUUACAUUAAUUGAUAUGGGUUGAGGAUGUAAGAGGCUCACAGUCAGGACCAAUGUGAGUUGGGUUUACAAUUUUUGGAUUGAGUCUAAGUAAGUUAAGGUUCAAGAGAUAAUUCUCAAAAUUAAAAUUUAAUAAACUAAUCAACAAUUUAUACAUCCUCUGAGGAUUUAGGAAGGCAAGGAAUCUGGAAGCUCCCAUAAACAUAUAACGACCUAGAACCUUAUUGAUUUUAUAGAAUAAGAAUUGGCCAUAUUCUGGUUGCAUAGAUCUAGGAAGUCAAAACCUGGAUGAAAUAUUCAUCACUAGGUACAUAACACAUCUAUAGACUCAGCCAUGGUAGGGAAACUUUUAUAGAUGCUGAGAAAAUAUCUACCAUAGCAAGAAGAUAUUUGUGUUUAUCUCUUAGGUGGUGUAUGUGUAUAAUUUUCUCCAGUGCUCUGAUGUAAGAUUUCGCCAAAUUAGGGUAGAAUGAAGAGGGGAUGGGAUGUUCCUGGGUAUGUGUUGAGGAGGAACAAUUGGGGUCAUCUGCAGCCUGAUAAUCGAGCAAGCAGGUAAGACAGCUUUAGAAAAACUAAGUUAAAAAAACUAUGUUAACAGGUGAUUCAUAUGCACUAAGGAUAAGUGGAGGGCUAUGGGAGGGUGUGUUACAAUGCACAUGAUCCCAAAGAAGGGGUUUUAAGAGCAUGAAAAAAGGAGAAUGUAGUGGGGCUGGGUUGAGAGGAGUUAUAUUUCUAAACUAAAAUUGUUCUUUUACAUUAAUUCAUAUGGGUUGAGGAUGGAUGAGGCAAAAAAAUCAGGACCAAUGUGAGUUGGGGUUAUAAUUUUUGGCUAGAGCCUAAGAAAGGUGAAGUUCAGAAGAUCAUUAUGAAAAUUAAAAUUUAAUAGGCUAAUCAAGGAUUUUUACUUUCUCUAAGGAAGCAGUUAAGUAGGGAAUAUGUAAGGACCCAUGGACGUCUAAUCCCCUUGAACAGAAAAUGACAUUAGAGAUGAAUACUAGGCCAUUUUUUGGGGUCAAAAGAUCUAGGAAUUCCUAACCUGAAUAAAAUAUUAUUCAUCACCUGGGUACAUAUCUCGUCUAUAGUCUCAGCCAUGGUAGUGAAUCUUUUACUCAUGGUGAGAAAAUAUCUAUCAGAGUAAGAGGAUAUUUGUGUUUUUCUUUUAGGUGGUAUAGGUGUGAAAUCUUUAUCCAAUCUCUGAUGUAAGGUUUUCCCCCAAAUUAGUAUAUAAUGAAGAAGGGAUGGGAUGUUCUUGGGUGUGUGUUGAGGAGGAACAAUUGUGGUCACCUGCAGCAUGACAGUAGAUCAAGCAGGUAAGACAGAUUUAUAAAAACCAAUCAAACAGGUGAACCCUAUGAUUUAAGGAUAAGUUGAGGCCUAAGGUGAGCUACAAUGCACAUGAUCCCAAGGAGGUGUUUUAGAGAAUGAAAAAUGACAAUAUAUUUGGGCAGGAUUGAGAGUGGGCAAAUUUCCUAAGAGUAAAAUGAAUUGCUUAAUUAACUCAUAUGGGUUGAGGAUGGAAGAGGCUCCAAUUAAGGACCGAUGUGAGUUGGGGUUACAAUAUUUGGUUGAGCUUAAGGAAGGUGAAGUUCAAAAGAUAAUGCUAAUAAUUAAGAUUAUAGAGCCAAUCAAUGAUUUUUACAUUCUCUGAGGUCUGAGGGAGGCAAGGAAUAUGGAAGUUCCCCUUAACAUAUAAGGACCUAGAACAAAACUGAUUUUAGAGAAGAACACUUGUACAUUUUCUGUUUGCAUCAAUCUAGGAAGUCCAAACCUGGAUAAAACAUUAUUCAUAUGCUGGUAUCUGACCACAUAUAAACUCUCUGCAAUGCUAGUGUAAAUUUUACCCAUGCUGAGAAAAGUAAGAUAUUUGUGUUUUUCUGCUGGGUGCUAUAUAUGUGAAUAAAUUCUCCAAUCCUCUGAUGUCAGAUUUUUUUCAAAAAUAGUAUAGAAUGAAGAAGGGAUUGGAUGUUCCUGGGUGUGUGUUGAGGAGGAACAAUUGUGGUCACCUGCACAGUGACAGUAGAGCAAGCAGUAUAGAAUGAAGAAGGGAUGGGAUGUUCCUGGGUGUGUGUUGAGGAGAAAAAAUUGUCACCUGCAGAAUGACAGUAGAGCAAACAGGUAAGACAGCUUUAGAAAAUCCAAGUAAACAGAUGAAUCCUAUGAUUUAAGGAUAAGUGGAGGGCUAAGGGGAGAUACAGUGCACAUGAUCCCAGAGAAGAUGCUUUAAGAGAAUGAAAAAUUACAAUGUAUUGGUGCUGAAAUGAGAGUAGGCAAAUUUUGCCCGAGUAAAAUGAUGCUCUUACAUUAAUUCAUAAGGGUUGAGGAUGGAAGAGGCUCACAGCCAGGACCAAUGUGAUUUGGGGUUACAAUUUUUGGUUUAAGCCCAAGGAAGUUGAUGUUCAGAAAAUUAUUCUCAAUAUUAAAAUUUAAAAAGAUAAUUAACAAUUUUACAUUCUCUGAGGACUGAGGGUGGCUAGGAUUAUGGAAGCUCCCAUAAACAUAUAAGGAUGUAGAACCUUAUUGAUUUCACACAUUAACACUUGGCCAUUUUUGGGUUGCAUAUAUCUAGGAAAUCUAAACCUGGAUGAAACAUUUUUCAUCACCUAGGUACAUGCCACAUGUAUACUCUCAGCCUUGGUAGGGAAAAUUUUAUCCAUGCUGAGAAAAUAUCAAACAUAGUAAGAUGAUAUUUGUGUUUUUCUGUUAGUUGGUAUAUGUGUGAAAUCUUUCUCCAGUCCUCUGAUGUAAGACUUUCCCCAAAUUAGUAUAUAAUGAAGAAGACAUGAGAUGUUGUUGGGUGUGUGUUGAGGAGGAACAAUUGUGGUCACCUGCAGCCUGACAGUAGAGCAAGUAGGCAAGACAGCUUUAGAUAAACGAAAUAACAGGUGCAUCCUAUGGUUUAAGGAUAAGUUGAGGACUAAGUGGGGAUACAGUGCACAUGAUCCCAGGGAAGGUGUUUUAAGAGAAUAAAAAAGGAGAAUGUGGUGGGGCUGUGUCUAGAAAAGGUAAAUUUUGCCAGAGUAAAAAUAUUCUCUUACAUUAAUUGAUAUGGUUUGAGGAUUGAAAAGGCUCAGAGUCAGGACCAAAGUGAGUUGUAGUUACAAUUUUAUGAUUGAGCCUAAGUAAGUUGAGGUUCAAGAGAUAAUUCUCAAAAUUAAAAUUGAAUAAGCUAAUCAAUGAUUUUUACAUUCUCUGAGGACUGAGAGAGGCAAGGAAUAUGGAAGCUCCCCUAAACAUAUAAGGACCUAUAACCAUAUUGAUUUUACAGAGUAAAAAUUUGCCAUUUUCAGGUUGCUUAGAUCUAGGAAGUCAAAACCUGGAGAAAAUAUUAUUCAUCAACAGGGUACAUAACACAUCUAUAUUCUCAGCCACGAUAAGGAAAGUUUUGCCCAUGCUGCGAACAUAUCUACCAUAGUAAGAAGAUAUUUGUGAUUUUCUGUUAUGUGGUAUAUGUGUGUAAUUUUCUCCAGUUCUCUGAUGUAAGAAUUCCCCCAAAUUAGUAUAGAAUGAAGGAGGGAUGGGAUGUUCCUGGUGUGUGUUGCAGAUGAAAAAUUGUGGUCACCUGCAGCCAGACAGUAGAGCAAGCAGGUAAGACGAGUUAGAAAAACUAAGUUAACAAAAACUAAAUUAACAGGUGAUUCAUAUGCUUUAAGGAUAAGUGGAGGGCUAUGGGAGCUACAAUGCACAUGGUCCCAGAGAAGGUGUUUUAAGAGAAUGAAAAA